UGGGGAAUCUUGGACAAUGGGGGCAACCCUGAUCCAGCGACGCCGCGUGGGUGAUGAAGGCCUUCGGGUUGUAAAGCCCUUUCGCCGGGGAGGAUGAUGACGUUACCCGGAGAAGAAGCACCGGCUAACUCCGUGCCAGCAGCCGCGGUAAGACGGAGGGUGCUAGCGUUGUUCGGAAUUACUGGGCGUAAAGGGCGCGUAGGCGGCUUGGCAAGUUGGGUGUGAAAGCCCGAGGCUCAACCUCGGAACUGCAUUCAAAACUGCUUGGCUUGAGACCGAGAGAGGAGAGUGGAAUACCCAGUGUAGAGGUGAAAUUCGUAGAUAUUGGGUGGAACACCGGUGGCGAAAGCGGCUCUCUGGCUCGGAUCUGACGCUGAGGCGCGAAAGCGUGGGGAGCAAACAGGAUUAGAUACCCCCGUAGUCC
rnacentral:rRNA from 1 species